rnacentral:sRNA from 1 species
UUUUAAUGAUGCAUAUACUGUAUAGGUUUUUUGAAAUGGGGAUCUUGCACCAAUCGGGUACCUGAACAUAAGAACUGAUACUUCUCUUUUAUUUUUGUAUCUGUCAAGAUGAAGCUAGUGACAGCAGUCAAUUAAUCAGCGUAUUGGUCGAGCAUCGCUUGUGUAGGAUGCAUUCUUGGGUUGUAUCGGGGUUGUUUCCUUGACCCUUUCUUUGGACAUUUAUUCGCUUUCUUCUUAAUGAAAUGAAAUGCAGUCGUCCUGCAUUUUCGAGAAAAAAAUAAUCAGCAUAGAAAUAAUCAAAUUGAAGGUUUUGAUUUGCAACAGCUUCCACCUGGCUAUUACUUCCAUGUGUUCUCUGCAUGAAUUAUUAAAAAUGAUCAAAAUUAAUCUUUGAGAGUUAUCUUUGCAUGAAUUUUGAAUUCUCGAACUACUUACCAUCCAUUCUAAUCUGUUAUAUAUCACAGUACAAAUAUAGGGUAAAAUACACUAGCAGUCCUGGGUUUCUUGAACUUCAUAUUUACAAUCAAAACUUAUGGCACUAUAACUUUAUUUGCCUUCAUUUAUGAGAAAAACAAUGCCGUGCUAGAUUGGCAUCGCCUAUUGGUCUAACAUUCAGUGUGACUUUUGCAUUUUGGUUGGAACUGUCUUUAUGGAGCUUUUAUCUGCUAUUUCUCUAGAACUAAGAAUGAGCAGUUGACACUUGUGUUUCAUUCAAAUUGCAAAAUACAUGAUCGUUUUAUAAAUAUUGAUUAUUUAAGGAAACAAAUGUAGUUUCUUUUUACUAUCGUUACAUGUGUUUUCAGAGUAUUAAAAGGUUGUAGAAUGACCAGAAUUGCUUGCUGUCUAUGAUGGGUUCCUGCUAGUUAUUGGUCACUUGCUUUUUCAAUAUGCAUCCAGUUUUUCCUUCUUACUUCAAAUACAUCAUUUAAUGACAAAACUGUUAUCUGAUCUAUUGGCAUCCUUAACAUGUUCUCUCUUUGUGCAGGCAACAGUGCUGGGCAGUAAAGCUGCAAACUCUUAGAAAUAGUUUAGCUGGAUUAGUGUGAUUUGUAUUGUCAUUCGAAUGUAUGCGCGUGGAGUUGAUGUUAUGUAAGCAGGAGCACAGGUUGGACUGUUUGGACAUCACAUGACAUUCGUAAUCAUUACUGCUCAUCUCCUGAAGCCUCAGUUUGACUUUGACCUCAUUACUGCACGUCGCAAGAUGCCUGUUGUAGAAAGGUACCACCAAAAGUUUCCGGUGCACUUAAAUACCAUCCAAAUUUGUAAACCUUCGUAUAUUUACCACUCCACGUAUGGCCAUGAGAUCUGUACAAUCCGUUUGGAUAGC